rnacentral:tRNA from 1 species
AAGAAAUUAUUAUAAACAUUAUAAGUAUAUAAAAUUGCAAAUUUUAAGGUUAUUUUCUUU